GACGAACGCUGGCGGCGUGCCUAAUACAUGCAAGUUGAGCGAUGAAGAUUGGUGCUUGCACCAAUUUGAAGAGCAGCGAACGGGUGAGUAACGCGUGGGGAAUCUGCCUUUGAGCGGGGGACAACAUUUGGAAACGAAUGCUAAUACCGCAUAACAACUUUAAACAUAAGUUUUAAGUUUGAAAGAUGCAAUUGCAUCACUCAAAGAUGAUCCCGCGUUGUAUUAGCUAGCUGGUGAGGUAAAGGCUCACCAAGGCGAUGAUACGUAGCCGACCUGAGAGGGUGAUCGGCCACAUUGGGACUGAGACACGGCCCAAACUCCUACGGGAGGCAGCAGUAGGGAAUCUUCGGCAAUGGACGAAAGUCUGACCGAGCAACGCCGCGUGAGUGAAGAAGGUUUUCGGAUCGUAAAACUCUGUUGGUAGAGAAGAACGUUGGUGAGAGUGGAAAGCUCAUCAAGUGACGGUAACUACCCAGAAAGGGACGGCUAACUACGUG
rnacentral:rRNA from 1 species